rnacentral:lncRNA from 1 species
UAGUCAAGACUAUUCCGGUAUUAUUUCGUUUCUGUUAUAGUUCCUUAUUUAAGGUUAAUCGUUCAUAUUCUUUGUACUGUACUUAAGCUCUCAAGGGAUGUCCGCUGUCAUUUUCUGUCACUUGAUUGUUUGUUGAACUUGCCCAUUUUCUUAUGUUUUAUGUUAUAUAUUUUGCAAGAACAAAGUUUCAAGGAUUUUCAUUCAGACUAGAAACAUUGGCAAAAGGUUAGGUUUAUUUUUGCAUUAUGUGUAUCCCUUAUUUUGUUUAUUUUGGGAAUAAGGUAUUUAUUGAGUUGGAGAGUCUUGAUAUCCAUUUGAACAAAGAGGCAAGAAUAAGUUUCACACACACAUACGCUCAAACAAUUGGGUAACUCUUGGAAUACAUAUUGAUUGAACUUCUUUAUUGGUUUGUUUUCUUUUAUUUUCUCCUUGUCUUCUGCUUAUUUUUGUUACGAGUUAUUGAAUUGAGAUUCUUGAUGCUAGGCAAAAAGAAAGAGACGAAAGAUUUCCUCCUCUGAUAUUCAGAGAAUUCGAAAGGCUCUUCGAGUACAUAUCAAUUGCCCUCUUUCAUUGGUAUAUUUUCCCUUUUUCCCUUGUUUUCUUAACUUGUUAUCGAUUGCCUCUUUCUUUCAUAUGUUUUCUUUUUCCCCCCGUUUUCUGUAACUUAUUUUCGUUUAUAUAUUAUCAACUUAUGUUGGUUGGCUAUUAUAUCGAGUUGUCUAUUAUAUUUGGUUAUCAGUUGUUUAUACUUCAAGAAAAUUGAUCUUUGGAGAGAAUUAAAGUGAAAAGAAUAAUCAUUUAUUUUGAUAUCUUGCUCAUUUUCCAUUGAAUCUCAAUAAGAGUAACUAGAACCUUCUGCUAUGUUUUGUUUUUGCCGAAUAAUAAGAGUUGAUCACUAUUAUUUGGUUGUUACUUGGAUGAGUCAAAGGGGGCAAGUUGAUAAGAUUACGUUUGUAAAUGGUUAAGAUUACAAAUAGUUUUAUUAAUCUUAAUUUUUCAGCAAGUGGUUGUUUCGGUAUAUUAUAAGUUUUUCAAUUGUUUGUGGUACUUAUUGAUGAGAGGUACACUUUUGUGGGAGAUCUUAUGUUACGUUUUGUUUUUAUAUGUUCACUUUUGUGGGAGAUCUUAUGUUACGUUUUGUUUUUAUAUGUUUACUCAUUACUGAAAGUAUUGUUAUUAUAACUUGGUUUUUUAUUGCACUAAGUAAUGUGUAUUUUUGUACAUGCAGGUUGCUUAUACAACUGCUUUGAAUGAUUAAUUUCAUUGUUGAUCCAAGCCAUCUAGAAUAUAGUGGGAGGGAAUCAUCAUGUUUAAGUUUCUAGUGUUAGAUAUAAGAAUAUUAGUUAAUCCUGAUAUUUGGAUUCUAUGUUAUAGGAUUAUGACUCUCAUUAUGAUAUUCAGUACUAGCUUGACUGAUCAGAUACAUUUGAAAUUUUGAUUAAUGAAAGUCGAGAAUGUUGUUAUAGUUUGUUUGUUGUUUACACUUAUAUUUUGUGUAUAUUUUAAUAAUGCUAGCAGGAUAUGAAGUGUACAUAUGAUGACGUGUAUACUGUCCCAAUAUCAAAUUCUUGCAACAUAAAUAAAUGUCUCUACGUCUACGUAAGUGUCCCCAAAAGAUGAUUAGCAAAAAUAUGGAAUUCUUAAGAGGAUACAUAUUUGU